CGGAGUUCACCGGAAAUUGCCGAGUCAAUGUUUACAAUCUAUCUGCGCAGAAGGUGAACACAGCUGACAUUUGUCUCUCGUAGAAAAUUCCACUGUAAGCAGGCAAUCAGCUGAUCACAAACCUUCCCACGUUGAUAGAACCAUGCCUAGUCAGGGACCUCACCAGGGCGGCUUUCUCUACAACAAUGACCACAGGGCUCCAUGGCAACAAGGGAUGCCGAUGAUGGACGACCGAUUCCCAGGACAACAGAUGCCUAUGGCACCACCACAAUUUCAGCAAAACGCACAUAUACCCGGGUACAGAGCAUCCAACUGGGGACCGAACAACUUUCAUCACCCGCAACCAUUUAAUAACUACCAGUCUCGCUUCUGGAACCGGAAUCACAGCCACAACAACGCCGGCUCGUCCCGCUCCUCCAGCAGUUCUCCUAGGAGUUCAUCCUCCUCCUCAUCCUCUUCUUCCUCUUCUCGCCGAGGAGACAAUGAGUCCGAUAUGUGCUUCAUUUGCAAGGACCUCUUGCAGAACUGCGAUCAACUCGGUAUUCACCUGUGUGACGGGGGAGUUAGCGUCAAGACCAGCAAAGCGGAGCAAGCUUGUGAGAUAAACGCCAGACUGGAGAAAGUUUUGGAGGAAAUAAAGGCUAGCCUGAAGGACAAGCACGAUAAUCUCACAGAGGCCAUUGAAGAACACGUGACCACUAGAAUCGGAGAGAUAGAGACGAUCCACCAGCACGCCAUGGACAAGAAAGCGACACUCAUCAAUCUGAAACAACAGCUGGAGUCAAGAACGGCUGAACUGGAGAAGAUGGAAAAGGAAGUUAGAGAAAAGGAGAAAAAAUUGGAACAGGAAAAGGACAAGUUCGACAAGGACAUGCACAAGGAAAAAGAAGAGAUUUGUCGCCAAUGGCAACAGUUGAGGGAUGAACUUGCCCGUAUGGAAGAAAUGCAUGACGUUCAAAAGGUAUAUCACGUCUCAAAGAGAAAUAUCUCCCGGAAACGUGAUAAUCUCCACUUUUGGGAAUGUAAAUUUGACGUGAAGGAUGUUGUUUUUUUUUUCUGAAUUGGUUUCGAGUUAGAAUUCCAUGGUCAGUUUAUAAACAUAAUUUGAGUGAAAGGGUAAGUACACCUUGAAAUGCUACUUCUGUUCAGGUUAGUAUCGGUGGAACAGUUAUUAUUGCAGAUAUCAUAUCACUUUACUUGAUGAAUUUUGGCUUAUUUUUAAAAUACAACAUUUCACAUAUGUUGAUGGACAAAAUUCAAUAAAGUUUGGAAGACAAAGCAAAGGAAAUUUAUUGAUGAAUUUUACUUAAUGUCACAAAACAUCAGCAAAACAAAACUUCGUCAUCCUGACUGGUAUGAUCUGAUGAAGGUAUGUAGGAGGGUUAGUAACGUGGACUACUUUCCUGGGUAAGUACUGUCAUCUGGUGAAGGUAUGUAGGAGGGUGAGUAACGUGGACUACUUUCCUGGGUAAGUACUGUCAUCUGAUGUGAUACUGUGUGUAUGUGGGCUAGAUUGUGUGUAUCAAUUCUAAGGACCAAUAGAACAUUUGAGUCCACUGACUUCAAGCAAACUGUUCACAAAACGAAAUCUGACUAUUGAGAGACCGCUAACCCCUUCAACAGGUGGUAAGGCGAUCAUACUGUAGACCCUCAUUGGAAUAAGAUAAAACGUCGAGAUAAAUAACAAUAAACGCUCGAAUCGUUCUCUUCAUGACAAAAUCGUUGGAUAUAAGACGUCAACUGUUCGCGGAGUGAUACUUUCCUUCGGAGUACUGUGAGAAUAACUGGGAAUUGUGAUAUAUAGAAUUAGCGUUGUUUGUGUUGCUAUAUAAACCGCUGUUAUAAGGUGUUAGUCAUGGCACGUGAUAAACCUUAACGCUAUUUAAAACGCCUACACCCUCAGCAACAUGUCCAACGGUAAUCCUGGAACACAUGUUCUUAUUAAAACAGAAGUAGAUGGUACCCAAACCAAAAUAUCACGGAAUAAUUUACACCACAGAGUUACCUAUCGGCAAAUUACGAAUACUUAAACAUUUCUUAAUUUGCAAACACUGGUAAGUAUGUUCCUCUUUACCUCGACAUCAGAAAAUAUGUAGUGGUCGUAAUCUUUGUUUCCAAUUCCACUGUCCCAUUCAUAUUGAUAGAGCAAUACUUGAAAAGCUAGAUUCAACUGUAAUUUUUCAUAUUAUGUAUAUUAAGCGUAUAGACCUAAAACAUUAUUUAAAGCUGCACCACGAUCGAGAUUUACAAACUUUGUGUUGGUUCAUGAUUCCAAAUAAGUAUAACUGUUUCCAAACGAUUUCAGCAUUGCUAACCUGUUAAUAUUUCAACAUUAAGGUCAAUAGCUCAUAUAUUCCUGCGACAUUUGUAGAAACGAUACCAGGGGGAAUCGUGAAAACGGCGUACAUCCACAUGAAGGAUUUAAAUGAAAAGUUCAGGAUAUUUUCACUCAAAAUGUCUGUCAUACAAAACUCAGAAUUAUCCUUCAUUACACUGUAUGUCUCGAAUCCUCCUCACCCACAAUGCAGCUUUAAAUAGGAUGACUGGAGCUCGGUUGUCCACUGAUGUUUACCUCUUGUGCCCGCUGUAUAAUUAACAUCUGUAGAUAAUUUGUUUAUGCCCACUGUAUGACUAUGUAGAUAAUCUGUUUGCCCAAUGUCGGGUGUUUGUUUCAGGCGAGGGUUUAUUUAUAUACUAUCUACCCACCUCGAUGACGUCACACGGUCCCACACGUACAUGCUAGUUGUCCGGUAACACGACAUACGGGGCUCUAAGAUUUUAAAUGAAGAGAAAGAAGUUUUUUCACAACACGACCUUCCUAGAUAAGCCAUCGAAUGUAAGGGUAGAUCAAUGAUUGGGGAUUCUAACGUCCAGCUAAUAUAAGAGAUCUGAUCUGAUUAUAACUGAAAUUAUAUCAUAUCUGGGAACGAUAUUUAAUGAAAUGUGCAAAACAGCAACUUUGGAAUUCCCUGUGGCGGUGUAUUCAAUCAAACGGUACCAGGUUAUUUUCUGUCAAAGCUUCUCGGACUGUGUUUUCCACUAUUUAUGAAAUAAACUUAAAAAGGUGACAGUAACAGUACACAGAAAAAUACACCGAAAUACGUCAAGAUAAAAAGUUGGGAAUUUCAAGCUUGCUGGUCUAAAUAUAAGAAAACAUCUACCAUUCGAUAUUAACAUAAUAAGUUCAAAGUUACAUUUUCAAUUAUUGAAACAAGAUGUUAUCGUUUGGUUUAGGAUGAGGAUGAUAUUUGCUAUUCUUUUUGUUCGAUGUAAAGUGAUGCUUAUGUUAUGCUAUAUGUUUUGGUUUUUCUUUCUUUAUAACGCACAUCUACAAUAGACAAAGCGUUUUGAUAGCACUCAUGUUUCCACCUGAGUUAAUGACGAGAUAGGUGAGCUCUCACCUAAGUUUGGGAGGAAGUUGACCCCUAGUUACUGAUGACCCGGGUACUCUGCAGUAAUAUUACAAUGAAGAUAUCACGUUGUAUAAUUCCACGGUAUCUCGUGGGUAAAACAACACCAAUUGUAGAAUUCUGUAGCAAGGGAAGGAUCCGCUUAGAUAUUGGCGGGAACAUCUUUACUACGUCACGUCUGACCUUGACCCAAGAUCCAGAGUCCAUGCUGGCCGCCAUGUUCAGUGGACGUCACAAUAUCUG